rnacentral:rRNA from 1 species
AUGCAGCGCGAGAGGGUGUCAGGACGCCGCAGUGGUGAUCCUUGUUCUUCUCAGCACCAUUUUUCUAGCCUAUGGGCAAGAAGUGAAUUGCAUGUACUCCAUAUGGUCCUGGGUACCUAUGGUUAUCCAAAGACAAAAGAUUGCAAACAGAAUCGUGCAAUUCAUUUUCCAAAACUUCAGUUGGCGGAUUUGUUGCUGUGCGUUGAUGACCUUUGGCCCGACCAGUCUUGUGGCUGUUUGCUAGGCUGUGUUCACUGUUUUGCUAACCUUAAACACCUCCCAACUAGGCGUCCGUUUCCAGCAAAUCGCAAAAAGAUGAUUGGCGGAUUUGGCUAUGUUGAGCGCAUUUAUGACAGAUGGAGCAUGUUUUCUGCUUACGUGGCGUAA